rnacentral:rRNA from 1 species
UACAGAGGUCUCAAGCGUUGUUCGGAUUCAUUGGGCGUAAAGGGUGCGUAGGCGGCGCGGUAAGUCGGGUGUGAAAUCUUGGAGCUUAACUCCGAAACUGCAUUCGAUACUGCCGUGCUUGAGGACUGGAGAGGAGACUGGAAUUUACGGUGUAGCGGUGAAAUGCGUAGAUAUCGUAAGGAAGACCAGUGGCGAAGGCGGGUCUCG